rnacentral:lncRNA from 1 species
AUUCGCGUUCAGCAGUCUCUCUUUGGAGUCUGUUUUUGAAGUUUUUUUUGUUGCAAAAAAACCAGGAACAGAUCUGUACAGACACAUGCCUAGAACCCCGACCAGGUGUAUUCUAUUUGCUACCCAAGAUCCAUAAACCUGGAAAUCCUGGACGCCCCAUCAUCUCAAGCAUUGGCACCUUAACAGCAUGAUUGUCUGGCUAUGUGGACUCUCUCCUCAGGCCCUACGCUACCAGCACUCCCAGCUAUCUUCGAGACACCACUGACUUCCUGAGGAAACUACAAUCUAUCGGUGAUCUUCCAGAAAACACCAUCCUGGCCACUAUGGAUGUAGAAUCCCUCUACACCAACAUUCCACACAAAGAUGGACUACAAGCCAUCAGGAAUAGCAUCCCCGAUACCAUCACGGCAAACCUGGUGACUGAACUUUGUGACUUUGUCCUCACCCACAACUAUUUCACAUUUGGGGACAAUAUAUACCUUCAAGUCAGCGGCACUGCUAUGGGUACCCGCAUGGUCCCACAGUAUGCCAACAUCUUUAUGGCUGACUUAGAACAACGCUUCCUUAGCUCUCGUCCCCUAAGGCCCCUACUCUACUUGCGCUACAUUGAUGAUAUCUUCAUCAUCUGGACCCAUGGAAAAGAAGCCCUCGAUGAAUUCCACCAUGAUUUUAACAAUUUCCAUCCCACCAUCAACCUCAGCCUAGACCAAUCCACACAAGCGGUCCAUUUCCUAGACUCUACUGUGCUAAUAAGCGAUAGUCACAUAAACACCACCCUAUACCGGAAACCCACUGACCACUAUACUUACCUACAUGCCUCCAGCUUCCAUCCAGGACACACCACACAAUCCAUUGUCUACAGCCAAGCUCUAAGAUACAACCGCAUUUGCUCCAAUCCCUCAGACAGAGAUAAACACCUACAAGAUCUCUAUCAAGCAUUCUUAAAACUACAAUACCCACCUGCUGAAGUGAAAAAACAGAUUGACAGAGCCAGAAGAGUACCCAGAAGUCACCUACUACAGGACAGGCCCAACAAAGAAAAUAACAGAACGCCACUAGCCGCCACCUUCAGCCCCCAACUGAAACCUCUCCAGCGCAUCAUCAAAGAUCUACA